CCUACGGGAGGCAGCAGUGGGGAAUAUUGGGCAAUGGGCGCAAGCCUGACCCAGCAACGCCGCGUGAAGGAAGAAGGCUUUCGGGUUGUAAACUUCUUUUGACAGGGACGAAUAGCAUACGGUACCUUUCGAAUCAGCCACGGCUAACUACUUGCCAGCAGCCGCGGUAAUACGUCGGUGGCCAGCGUUUUCCGGAUUUCCUGGGUGUAAAGGGCGUGUAGCCGGGUUGACAAGUCAGAUGUGAAAUCCUGCGGCUUAACCGCAGAACUGCAUUUGAAACUGUUUAUCUUGAGUGCUGGAGAGGCAGACGGAAUUCCGAGUGUAGCGGUGAAAUGCGUAGAUAUUAGGAGGAACACCAGUGGCGAAGGCGGUUUGCUGGACAGUAACUGACGGUGCGGCGCGAAAGCGUGGGGAGCAAACAGGAUUAGAUACCCCUGUAGUC
rnacentral:rRNA from 1 species